rnacentral:rRNA from 1 species
CGAGUGGCGAACGGGUGAGUAAUAUAUCGGAACGUGCCCAGUCGUGGGGGAUAACGUAGCGAAAGCUACGCUAAUACCGCAUACGAUCUAUGGAUGAAAGCGGGGGAUCGCAAGACCUCGCGCGAUUGGAGCGGCCGAUAUCAGAUUAGCUAGUUGGUGAGGUAACGGCUCACCAAGGCUACGAUCGGUAGCUGGUCUGAGAGGAUGAUCAGCCACAUUGGGACUGAGACACGGCCCAAACUCCUACGGGAGGCAGCAGUGGGGAAUAUUGGACAAUGGGGGCAACCCUGAUCCAGCAAUGCCGCGUGCAGGAUGAAGGCCUUCGGGUUGUAAACUGCUUUUGUACGGAACGAAACGGUGAGCUCUAAUACAGUUUGCUAAUGACGGUACCGUAAGAAUAAGCACCGGCUAACUCCGUG